CACGUAGGGCGCGAGCGUUGUCCGGAAUUAUUGGGCGUAAAGAGUUCGUAGGCGGCCUGUUGCGUCCGCUGUGAAAGCCCGGGGCUUAACCCCGGGUCUGCAGUGGAUACGGGCAGGCUAGAGGUAGGUAGGGGAGAAUGGAAUUCCCGGUGUAGCGGUGAAAUGCGCAGAUAUCGGGAGGAACACCGGUGGCGAAGGCGGUUCUCUGGGCCUUACCUGACGCUGAGGAGCGAAAGCGUGGGGAGCGAACAGG
rnacentral:rRNA from 1 species